rnacentral:tRNA from 1 species
UGGGGCGUGGCCAAGCGGUAAGGCAUCGGGCUUUGGUCCUGAUAUUCGGAGGUUCGAACCCUCUCGCCCCAC